GGAAUAAUAAUCAUGUCAAUUCAUAGGUAAGGGACAUUGAUGAAAGAGGUCAUGCAAGGGGGAUAGAGUGGGCAGUCACAUCUUGCCAAGGACCACUCUGUGUGGUCUCCCCAGCUACAAUGUGUGACUCUAUCAAGAUAUCAUGGACUGAUGGACCCCAGCAGGUACAGACUCUCAUCAUCUCACCUUUGGACUAUUGCAAUAGCCUGUACCAGAUCAGUCUGCUUAAUGACUCUCCCCACUGUGAUAGAGGCUGGCACUAGAGAAAAAACGCCAGACUGAAGAGUAUGAGAAAUUGAUCACCUCAACAGGGGAAGGGACCGAUGAGUGAAUUUCCUGAGGAAAGAAGACUCUGGCUGAUGAGCAGUGAGGGUCUCUCCAUCUUGAAACGUCAAAGAGAGAAUGUGGAUAGAGACUUUCUCCUGAGGGUUACCCACUUUUCCUGCUGGUGACCGGAAAUCCUUACCCCCAACACUUCCCAAUUGAAGGGACUUUCUGAAGAAAAACCUGAGCAGACUUUACCUCAGCUCCUGUUGCCCAUGGGUUGCUUCCACGGCAUCAUGGAGAGACUGUGCAGAUGCAUGAGACCUUUCCCUCUAGUCCCAAGAAUUUAUUGCCUUACCUCAAAAUACUGAGCAAGUCACCUCUGAUUUCUGGACCUAAAACUGUUCAUGAUUGUGCAUGUGGUCUGUAGUGAGAUGGGUAUUAGACUAGUUGAUUCUACUUGGGCCAUCACCAUCUUCUCAUCCCCACUGGAAAUUGAACUGAGUACUUGGAAUCACCCUGGGAUAUGAUGGGACAUCCUUGGUCUUCUCUUAUCUGAAUCUACAGCUAUGAUACUACCUAGUCAUUUCCAGGACAUGUAUCCUUUUAAGCCAUCACUUCCACUUUCCCUGCACUGAGAAAAAUAGACCACAUCUUUGGAA